rnacentral:rRNA from 1 species
GUAGGGUGCGAGCGUUGUCCGGAAUUAUUGGGCGUAAAGAGCUCGUAGGCGGUCUGUCGCGUCGGUCGUGAAAACUUGGGGCUUAACCCUGAGCWUGCGGUCGAUACGGGCAUGACUUGAGUUCGGCAGGGGAGACUGGAAUUCCUGGUGUAGCGGUGAAAUGCGCAGAUAUCAGGAGGAACACCGGUGGCGAAGGCGGGUCUCUGGGCCGAUACUGACGCUGAGGAGCGAAUGCGUGGGGAGCGAACAGGAUUAGAUACCMUGGUAGUMCYCGCCGUMRACGGUGGGC